AUAAAAUCAUGACAAUAAUGUAAUUUUGAACAAACGAAAUUUUUACGUUUUCCUUUUUUUUCCUUCACCCACCCACAUUAAAGCUAACAUAUCUCUAAAUUUUUAAACUUGUUUCCAUUUCUCUCUCUCACAUUUCUCUAGAACUUCUCUACCUUCCCUAUAUUUUCCAACCAAAAAAAAAAAAAAUCUUGUAUAUUUACGCUCACAUUUUGUUUCAUCUACUGUUUAUAUAUUAACCAAGAAAAAAUAAAUUCUCCAGCUCGUCGAGAGCUCUCUCUCCAACUCGUCGAGCUCUCUCCCUCCAACUUGUCGAGCUCUCUCCCAUGGCUUUUCCGUCGAUUUUGAUAUGUAGAAGCUACGAUUUCAGAGAUAUUCUACUUUCAAUACAAUUUCGACUCGUUUCCCACUAGUCCAGUCCGAAUUCGAUCUGCAGAGGACUCUGUUAGGGUUUUGGUCUGUUGAGAUCCGAGAGAUUUGAGGUUGCGAUUUCGAAUAUUGGAGCUUCGAGUUCAGAGGUUUGAGACUGCGAUUUUGAAUAUUGGAAGCUACGAUUUCAUAAUUUUGAGGCUGCGAUUUCUGGUGGUUAAUACAUUGUUGAGGAGGCAAUAUCCUAUUGAUUCAACGUUAUCCUUCAAUGUCAGUUCAAAGUUACAAGUAAACUGAGGUAUGCAAAGGGUGUACGUGUUAACUACUAGUGCAGAUGUUCUCUUCCGAUUCUCAUGGUAACAUUUUUCAAGUUAGUUCACGUAGAAGAGUUGUGAGUCAUAUAGGUGUUGCUUGAGCAUUGCGGUCAAACUCAUAGAGGAGUAUGAUGGUGGGUUAAGGUGAGUGAAAGAAGGGAAACAAAUAUGAAAUAGUUUACAAAGUAAAUAAUUUAUGUUGGAGGUAGAUAAAUUGGGGUGAAACGAAUAGUUCUUUUUAGGUUUUAUCAACUCUGUCUACUUCUGUGGUAUAUGAAUAUGAAGUAUGUUUUCCUUCCAUUGUUGUUUGUUUGAACUAAUUAGAAUUUGGUUUUGUUAGUCGAGGGAUGUGACUUGCUCACUCACGGUCACAGAUAUCUUUAGGAUACAAAUGUGGCUUUUGUUUUUGUAAUAACUAGCCACCUACAAAUGAAUUCUUUGUUUCUGCCGAUUGAAAACUAAUAUUAUAUUACUGAGAAAAGCAAAUGUUGGAGAAGCUUUUCUCCAUUGCUGGCAUUUGAGGACUGAAUUGGAAGUUCCUAGAUGGUUAUUUGGAAGUCCGUUGUUCAUGUUUUUUUCAUAAUAAUGUACAAACCAGCUUAGCUCGGUAGAUUUCGAUUGAUAUCAACUUUGAGUUGAUUUGUAGAUGACUUUAUCUGGUAGAAACGACUUUCCAUUGAUUUGAUUAGCUUUAUGAUAUUUCCGUUUUUUAUUGGUGAUAUUUUUAGAUUUAGGAAAGAUAAAAGCAAGUGUAAGUGAUAGAAUGGAAGAUAUUAGUCUUUGAUUUGAAGUUGUGAUUAGUAGAUUUUUGUUA